UUAAGUUCAGCGGGUAGUCCUACCUGAUUUGAGGUCAAGCUUAAGAAAGCGCGAUCCGCGAGGAUCAGCAGUAUUGGAAGCAACGACGAUUCACGCCUCUCGCUCCAGCCACGACGAUCAUUAUCACGUCGAAAGGCGUGCACGAAAAGAACUCGACUUUGCUUAAUGCAUUUCAGGAGAGCCGACGGCUCGCGCCGCCA
rnacentral:misc_RNA from 1 species